rnacentral:rRNA from 1 species
CCCUUAGAUGUUCUGGGCCGCACGCGUGCUACACUGAGUGGAUCAGCGGGUCAGGUUGCGCGAAAGUGUUUCCUAAUCUUGAAAUCCGCUCGUGAUGGGGAUUGACGGUUGCAAUUUUCCGUCAUGAACGAGGAAUACCUUGUAAGCGCGGGUCAUCAUCCCGCGCUGAAUACGUCCCUGCCCUUUGUACACACCGCCCGUCGCUUCUACCGAUUGAGUGGUCCGGUGAGGCUUUGGGAUCUGAGCGGAAAGAGCGUUUCGCUGUUUCUGCUCGGAAAACUCAGUCGAACCUUAUCAUUUAGAGGAAGGAGAAGUCGUAACA